GGCUGCCCCUUCUCAGGAA
rnacentral:tRNA from 1 species